CUCCCAGUGGCGUAGUUGGUCAACGCGUUCGAUUGCAAUAGCUUCUUUGUUACCGAAAGAUUACCUGUUUGAUUCAGGUCUAGGAGA
rnacentral:tRNA from 1 species